GAUCGGGUAGCUCAGUCGGUUAGAGCGCCUCGUUGACAUCGAGGAGGUCGGGGGUUCGAGUCCCUUCCCGAUCA
rfam:Candidatus Woesebacteria bacterium RIFCSPLOWO2_01_FTLL_39_25 rifcsplowo2_01_scaffold_66, whole genome shotgun sequence.